UCCAAUCGAACUCGGAGAUAGCUGGUUCUCCUCGAAAUAGCUUUAGGGCUAGCCUCGAGCUGGAGUCUAACGGAGGUAAAGCACUGAACUGACGCGGGGCCCAAAAAGGUUACCAACUCAUAUCAAACUAAGAAUGCCGUCAAGAUACCCUCGGGAGUCAGUCUGCGUGAGAUAAGUCGCGUGGACAAAAGGGAAAGAGCCCAGACCGACAGCUAAGGUCCCAAAGUACGUGUUAAGUGGAAAAGGAUGUGGGAUUUCAUAGACAACUAGGAUGUUGGCUUAGAAGCAGCCAUACAUUUAAAGAGUGCGUAAUAGCUCACUAGUCGAGAAAACCUGCGCCGAAAAUGUAACGGGGCUAAAACACGACACCGAAGCUACGGAUUUCCUACUAGGUAGGAAGUGGUAGAGGAGCAUCCUGCAAGGACGAAGCCAAAGUGAGAGCGAUGGUGGACGAAACAGGAGAGAGAAUGCCGGAAUGAGUAGCGAGAUACAUGUGAGAAACAUGUAGGCCGAAUAUCUAAGGAUUCCUGGGUAAAGCUAAUCUUCCCAGGGUUAGUCGGGGCCUAAGGCGAGGACGAAAGUCGUAGUCGAUGGAUAACAGGUUGAUAUUCCUGUACUACACAUAAUCAGAACUGUGGGGACGCAGGAGGAUAGGGAAACCGGGGAAUGGAAAGACCCGGUCAAGCGUAAAGCUGUGGGAGAUAGGCAAAUCCGUCUCCUGUAAGUGAAACGUGAUGAGGACUGAAAAAAAGUAAGGAAGUUUCCGAAUCCACACUGCCGAGAAAAGCCGCUAUUGCGUUAUGUGUACCCGUACCGUAAACCGACACAGGUAGAUGAGGAGAAAAUCCACAGGCCGACGGGAGAAGUGUUGUUAAGGAACUCGGCAAAAUGACCCCGUAACUUCGGGAUAAGGGGAGCCUCGCAAGAGGCCGCAGAAAAGAGGCACAAGCAACUGUUUAGCAAAAACAUAGGUCUAUGCGAAACCGUAAGGUGAAGUAUAUGGGCUGACGCCUGCCCGGUGCUGGAAGGUUAAAAGGAGAGGUCAGCGCAAGCGAAGCUUUGAAUUCAAGCCCCAGUAAACGGCGGCCGUAACUAUAACGGUCCUAAGGUAGCGAAAUUCCUUGUCAGGUAAGUUCUGACCCGCACGAAAGGCGUAAUGAUUUGUGCACUGUCUCGACAACACGCCCGGUGAAAUUGAAGAACCAGUGAAGAUACUGGUUACCCGCAACAGGACGGAAAGACCCCAUGGAGCUUUACUGCAGCCUGAUACUGGGAUUCGAUGAUAUAUGUACAGGAUAGGUGGGAGGCUAAGAAGCGAGAACGCUAGUUUUCGUGGAGCCGCCGGUGGGAUACCACUCUUAUGUCAUUGAAUUUCUAACCUGCAUCCGUGAUCCGGGUGAGGGACAAUGUCAGGCGGGCAGUUUGACUGGGGCGGUCGCCUCCUAAAAGGUAACGGAGGCGCUCGAAGGUCACCUCAGAAUGAUUGGAAACCAUUCAAAGAGUGUAAAGGCAAAAGGUGGCUUGACUGCGAGAGCGACGGCUCGAGCAGGUACGAAAGUAGGACUUAGUGAUCCGGUGGUAAUAAGUGGGAAUGCCAUCGCUCAACGGAUAAAAGCUACCCUGGGGAUAACAGGCUUAUCUCCCCCAAGAGUUCACAUCGACGGGGAGGUUUGGCACCUCGAUGUCGGCUCAUCGCAUCCUGGGGCUGAAGUAGGUCCCAAGGGUUGGGCUGUUCGCCCAUUAAAGCGGUACGCGAGCUGGGUUCAGAACGUCGUGAGACAGUUCGGUCCCUAUCCGUUGUGGGCGCAGGAAAUUUGAGAGGAGCUGUCCUUAGUACGAGAGGACCGGGAUGGACGUACCUCUGGUGUACCGGUUGCAGACCAACUGCACAGCCGGGUAGCUAUGUAUGGAACGGAUAAACGCUGAAGGCAUCUAAGCGUGAAGCCGCCCUCAAGAUAAGAUUUCCCAUUCUUCGGAAGUAAGAUCCCUUAAAGAUAAUGAGGUUGAUAGGUUGGAGGUGUAAGCAUGGUAACAUGUUCAGCUGACCAAUACUAAUAGAUCGAGGGCUUGACCAA
rnacentral:rRNA from 1 species